AACGAACGCUGGCGGCAGGCUUAACACAUGCAAGUCGAGCGCCCCGCAAGGGGAGCGGCAGACGGGUGAGUAACGCGUGGGAAUCUACCCAUCUCUACGGAAUAACGCAUGGAAACGUGUGCUAAUACCGUAUACGUCCUUCGGGAGAAAGAUGUAUCGGAGAUGGAUGAGCCCGCGUUGGAUUAGCUAGUUGGUGGGGUAAAGGCCUACCAAGGCGACGAUCCAUAGCUGGUCUGAGAGGAUGAUCAGCCACACUGGGACUGAGACACGGCCCAGACUCCUACGGGAGGCAGCAGUGGGGAAUAUUGGACAAUGGGCGCAAGCCUGAUCCAGCCAUGCCGCGUGAGUGAUGAAGGCCCUAGGGUUGUAAAGCUCUUUACCGGUGAAGAUAAUGACGGUAACCGGAGAAGAAGCCCCGGCUAACUUCGUGCCAGCAGCCGCAGUAACAC
rnacentral:rRNA from 1 species